rnacentral:rRNA from 1 species
UACGUAGGUGGCGAGCGUUGUCCGGAAUUAUUGGGCGUAAAGCGCGCGCAGGCGGGCAGAUAAGUCUGACUUAAAAGUGCGGGGCUCAACCCCGUGAGGGGUCAGAAACUAUCUAUCUUGAGUGCAGGAGAGGACAGUGGAAUUCCCAGUGUAGCGGUGAAAUGCGUAGAUAUUGGGAGGAACACCAGUGGCGAAGGCGACUGUCUGGACUGUGUCUGACGCUGAGGCGCGAAAGCCAGGGUAGUGAACGGGAUUAGAUACCCCGGUAAUCCUGGCCGUAAACGAUGGGUACUAGGUGUUGGGGGUAUCGACCCCUCCAGUGCCGGAGUUAACGCAAUAAGUACCCCGCCUGGGGAGUACGGCCGCAAGGUUGAA